AUGAUGGACUAUAGGACAGGACUGCUGCUUUUAACUGUCUGCUGGGCAGGUGUUGAUGGUCAGACUCUGACAGAAUCUGAACCAGUGAUUAAAAGGCCUGGAGAAUCCCACAGAUUGACCUGCACAGCCUCUGGAUUCACAUUCAGCGGCUACAGCAUGCAUUGGGUCAGACAGGCUCCUGGAAAAGGACUAGAGUGGGUUGCCUGGAUUGAUACUGGUGGUAACAGCAAAUCCUACUCUCAGUCAGUUCAAGGCCGGUUUACCAUCUCCAGAGACAACAGCAGACAGCAGCUGUAUCUGCAGAUGAACAGUCUGAAGACUGAAGAUUCUGCUGUUUAUUAUUGUGCUCGACAGCCACAGUGACUGGAGUUGGUUGAGCAGCUGUACAAAAUCCUACAGUACUCAUCUUUCAGGCUGUUAGAGCCCAAACAUGACUUUUCUUCACAUUCAUAUUACAUUAUUUGUUCUAUUGUUUGUAUUUAUUUUGUGUUUAUUGUUUUACAUUAUAUAUUUUACAUUACAUAUUUUCGUGAAUGAUACAUUAUACAACAUCCUGAAGAGUGUUCUUGAGAAAUAUUUGUAUGAAACAUUAAACACAUAGAAAAAAAACACACAGUGAAGAUCACUUGUUCAAGACUCUUCCAGCAACAGUGACUCUUAAAGGACAGAAUGUGCAGCCUGAAGACACUGCUGUGUAUUACUGUGCCAGACAGACACAGUGAAACACAUUAACAGGAGAGUCAUACAAAAACUACUUCCUCUAUUUACAAACACCACUGGCGACAUCCACUUGUCUCAGGAUUGACUGAUAGAAUAUUAAAGUUGCAACCUAGACAAAUAAAUAAAGCAUUUUUUUGUUUGUCCUUUGAAACAAUAUUUCAUACA